GACACGUGGUCCCGAGCGCACGAGAGAAAACAAUUAUAAAUCUUCCAUUUACUUCAGCAUCACAUCCCGCAGAUCCAGCAGCACCGACACGAGAGGCUCACUGACAGAGAGCAGCACGCUCACUGAGGAAGCGCAAGAACAUUUCAUUAAAGGAAAUGCAUCAUUGAACAUUGUAUCUGCAUAACAAUGGUAGGAGAUAUCUUUGAACUGCCCGAGACCAUGUACAGAGCGAGAGGCAUCGGACCCAGCAUCGAGCCCUGGGGAACACCACAAGACAGAGAUUCAACUGCUUUGAAGAACAUGUAGAAACGGGCCGGCCCUCUUUAUCUAUCAGCCAGCACAGAGCUCACAUCUCCAGGCAUGAAAAUCACCAGCGAUAAGGCCGAGCCGCCCACUGCACCAAUCCAUCACCUCUCAUUUUAUGGCUCCCACCUCCAGAUCAAUACAGCCCCCCUAUGUGUGUGUGUGUGUGUGUGUGUGUGUGUGUGUGUGUGUGUGUGUGUGUGUGUGUGUGUGUGUGUGUGUGUGUGUGUGUGAUGUAUGGCAGCUCAGUCAGAUUCAGAGUGACAAAGCACUUCAGGAGAGUCAAUAAAGAGAGCAGAAA